rnacentral:rRNA from 1 species
UACGUAGGUGGCAAGCGUUGUCCGGAAUUAUUGGGCGUAAAGCGCGCGCAGGUGGGAUAUUAAGUCUGGUGUUAAAGUUCGGGGCUCAACCCCGUGAAGCAUUUGGAAACUGAUAUUCUUGAGUGCAGGAGAGGAAAGUGGAAUUCCUAGUGUAGCGGUGAAAUGCGUAGAUAUUAGGAGGAACACCAGUGGCGAAGGCGACUUUCUGGACUGUGUCUGACACUGAGGCGCGAAAGCCAGGGUAGUGAACGGGAUUAGAUACCCCGGUAAUCCUGGCCGUAAACGAUGGGUACUAGGUGUUGGGGGUAUCGACCCCUCCAGUGCCGGAGUUAACGCAAUAAGUACCCCGCCUGGGGAGUACGGCCGCAAGGUUG